GAACGCUGGCGGCAGGCCUAACACAUGCAAGUCGAGCGGUAGAGAGGUGCUUGCAUCUCUUGAGAGCGGCGGACGGGUGAGUAAUGCCUAGGAAUCUGCCUAGUGGUGGGGGAUAACGUUCGGAAACGGACGCUAAUACCGCAUACGUCCUACGGGAGAAAGCAGGGGACCUUCGGGCCUUGCGCUAUCAGAUGAGCCUAGGUCGGAUUAGCUAGUAGGUGAGGUAAUGGCUCACCUAGGCGACGAUCCGUAACUGGUCUGAGAGGAUGAUCAGUCACACUGGAACUGAGACACGGUCCAGACUCCUACGGGAGGCAGCAGUGGGGAAUAUUGGACAAUGGGCGAAAGCCUGAUCCAGCCAUGCCGCGUGUGUGAAGAAGGUCUUCGGAUUGUAAAGCACUUUAAGUUGGGAGGAAGGGCAGUAAGUUAAUACCUUGCUGUUUUGACGUUACCAACAGAAUAAGCACCGGCUAACUUCGUG
rnacentral:rRNA from 1 species